rnacentral:rRNA from 1 species
ACGUAGGGUGCGAGCGUUAAUCGGAAUUACUGGGCGUAAAGCGUGCGCAGGCGGUUUUGUAAGACAGAGGUGAAAUCCCCGGGCUCAACCUGGGAACUGCCUUUGUGACUGUAAGGCUAGAGUGCGGCAGAGGGGGGUAGAAUUCCACGUGUAGCAGCGACAUGCGUAGAGAUGUGGAGGAAUACCGAUGGCGAAGGCAGACCCAUGAGCCAAUACUGACGCGCAUGCACGAAAGCGGGGGGAGCAAACAG